rnacentral:tRNA from 1 species
GUUGUGGUAGAUGGUUAAAAUCCAUCCGGGCUUUCACCCCGUUGUCAUAUUGGUCAGAUGCAGGUUCAAUUCCAGCCCACAACU